rnacentral:sRNA from 19 species
ACCUGUUCCCGAGGCCGAGUGCGGCCCACGGGGCAACGGACACACAUUGUGCCUGGGAAGAUCUGGGCACUUCAGGGCGUU